GAUUAACGCUGGCGGCGUGCAUAACACAUGCAAGUCGAACGAUGAAACUUAACUGAUUUCUUCGGAAUGAUUUUAAGUGGAUUAGUGGCGGACGGGUGAGUAACGCGUGAGUAACCUGCCUUGGAGAAGGGGAUAGCCUGUGGAAACGAAGAAUAAUACCCUAUGAUAUGAUAAUAUCUCAUGAUAUUAUCAUCAAAGAUUUAUCGCUCUAAGAUGGACUUGCGUCUGAUUAGUUAGUUGGUGAGGUAACAGCUCACCAAGGCAGCGAUCAGUAGCCGGCUUGAGAGCGUGUACGGCCACAUUGGGACUGAGACACGGCCCAGACUCCUACGGGAGGCAGCAGUGGGGAAUUUUGCACAAUGGGGGAAACACUGAUGCAGCGACGCCGCGUGAUUUAGAAGGCCUUCGGGUUGUAAAAAUCUUUUGUAUGGGAAGAAAAUGACAGUACCAUACGAAUAAGGACCGGCUAAUUACGUG
rnacentral:rRNA from 1 species